CCCUUAGAUGUUCUGGGCCGCACGCGUGCUACACUGAGUGGAUCAGCGGGUCAGGUUGCGCGAAAGUGUUUCCUAAUCUUUAAAUCCGCUCGUGAUGGGGAUUGACGGUUGCAAUUUUCCGUCAUGAACGAGGAAUACCUUGUAAGCGCGGGUCAUCAUCCCGCGCUGAAUAUGUCCCUGCCCUUUGUACACACCGCCCGUCGCUCCUACCGAUUGAGUGGUCCGGUGAGGCUUUGGGAUCUGAGCGGAAAGAGCGUUUCGCUGUUUCUGCCCGGAAAACUCAGUCGAACCUUAUCAUUUAGAGGAAGGAGAAGUCGUAACA
rnacentral:rRNA from 1 species